UUCUUCCUUGUCAAAACAGCACGGCAGGCGUUUUAAAAGCUCCGCGUUCAAGAGACAGUGUACGUUUAAAACUCUCUCGGUGAAGAUGACAGUCAAGGUUGAAAACCCCGAUCUUUCCGCCACCGUUAAACUCUGUGGACUAGAGUUGCGGGAAGUUGGAGAUAGAUUCUACUGGAGAUACAAACUGCUGGAACUACUGGUCAAGAACUAUGAGACGGUCACCAGACGUCAAAAUGAUACCAGCUGGAAGGAAUCAUGAGGAAGAGGGACGUUGUCCUGAAAUCAAAACGAAACAAAUUCUUGGAUUUGAACCCAUUACUGGUUGAUGACACGGUGAAACUCGGGAGGGAUGUCCAAUGUUGACAGAUCUCCCAGGAGUCGCCGGCACGGACUGUGGACUGGCACAAGAUGGGAUACAGAAAUGGCAUUUGGAAGGCAGCUGAUGAUACGGCUGUGUGGACCAAAGAAGAACAUCUGGAUGGUGGUGACCAGCCGAGGAUUGUGGAAUUCAAACACACAAAUGCUCUAAAUCAUUACAGCAUGUUUGUUUGUUCACAGUUGUUGCAACGACAUAACUUACGUUACAAAAUUGUUAAAAAAAAAAAGGUUACCAAUGAAACAAAUACAUUCAUAUAAUGUUUAUUGUGGAUUGUUAAUGUAAGAUUUACAUUUAAGUUACUGGAACUAUAUUUGUUUAAUGGGAUACAAUUAAUUUAUCUACAGUUUCUAUUAUUGUUUUUUUAUGGUUAUUCUAUUUAUGACUUUUUGUUAUUGUUACUUACAAGUUCCAAUUUCUUUAGAUAUGAAAAUAUCUUGACAUUAAAUGGAUCUGUCAUCUUUGAAAUCUUUGUUCAGUUGUUGGGUAUAGCUUAUCUGAAUGGAUAUUUUUACUGUAAGAUUAUUCUUUAUAGUCUUAAUCCGGAAGAAGGUGUAUUUAAUGCUUUUAUACUAGCACUUUGUUCUUGAAAAUAAAUUAUUCUGUUAAACCAUG